UACAGAGGUCUCAAGCGUUGUUCGGAUUCAUUGGGCGUAAAGGGUGCGUAGGCGGCGCGGUAAGUCGGAUGUGAAAUCCCGGGGCUCAACCCUGGAACUGCAUUCGAUACUGCCUUGCUCGAGGACUCGAGAGGAGAUUGGAAUUCACGGUGUAGCAGUGAAAUGCGUAGAUAUCGUGAGGAAGACCAGUGGCGAAGGCGGGUCUCUGGACAGUUCCUGACGCUGAGGCACGAAGGCCAGGGGAGCAAACGGG
rnacentral:rRNA from 1 species